rnacentral:rRNA from 1 species
GCGGCAGCAGUCGCGCAACCCCUGCAAUACGCGAAAGCGUGACAGGGCUACCCCGAGUGUCGUCCGCUGAGGAUGGCUUUUCUCUGCUGUAAGAAGGCAGAGGAAUAAGGAGAGGGCAAGUCUGGUGUCAGCCGCCGCGGUAAUACCAGCUCUCCGAGUGGUAGGGAUGAUUAUUGGGCUUAAAGCGUCCGUAGCUGGCCUUUCAAGUCUCUUGUUAAAUCCAGCGAUUCAAUCGUUGGACUGCGGGAGAUACUGUUAGGCUAGAGGGCGGGAGAAGCCGACGGUAUUUCCGGGGUAGGGGUAAAAUCCUAUAAUCCCGGGAAGACCGCCAGUGGCGUAGGCGGUCGGCUAGCACGCGCUCGACAGUGAGGGACGAAAGCUGGGGUAGCGAACCGGAUUAGAUACCCGGGAGUCC